rnacentral:rRNA from 1 species
CGAGUGGCGGACGGGUGAGUAAUGUCUGGGAAACUGCCUGAUGGAGGGGGAUAACUACUGGAAACGGUAGCUAAUACCGCAUAACGUCGCAAGACCAAAGAGGGGGACCUUCGGGCCUCUUGCCAUCGGAUGUGCCCAGAUGGGAUUAGCUAGUAGGUGGGGUAACGGCUCACCUAGGCGACGAUCCCUAGCUGGUCUGAGAGGAUGACCAGCCACACUGGAACUGAGACACGGUCCAGACUCCUACGGGAGGCAGCAGUGGGGAAUAUUGCACAAUGGGCGCAAGCCUGAUGCAGCCAUGCCGCGUGUAUGAAGAAGGCCUUCGGGUUGUAAAGUACUUUCAGCGGGGAGGAAGGGAGUAAAGUUAAUACCUUUGCUCAUUGACGUUACCCGCAGAAGAAGCACCGGCUAACUCCGUGCCAGCAGCCGCGGUAAUACGGAGGGUGCAAGCGUUAAUCGGAAUUACUGGGCGUAAAGCGCACGCAGGCGGUUUGUUAAGUCAGAUGUGAAAUCCC